rnacentral:rRNA from 1 species
GUUUGAUCCUGGCUCAGAUUGAACGCUGGCGGCAUGCCUUACACAUGCAAGUCGAACGGCAGCACGGAGCUUGCUCUGGUGGCGAGUGGCGAACGGGUGAGUAAUAUAUCGGAACGUACCCUGGAGUGGGGGAUAACGUAGCGAAAGUUACGCUAAUACCGCAUACGAUCUAAGGAUGAAAGUGGGGGAUUCGCAAGAACCUCAUGCUCCUGGAGCGGCCGAUAUCUGAUUAGCUAGUUGGUAGGGUAAAAGCCUACCAAGGCAUCGAUCAGUAGCUGGUCUGAGAGGACGACCAGCCACACUGGAACUGAGACACGGUCCAGACUCCUACGGGAGGCAGCAGUGGGGAAUUUUGGACAAUGGGGGCAACCCUGAUCCAGCAAUGCCGCGUGAGUGAAGAAGGCCUUCGGGUUGUAAAGCUCUUUUGUCAGGGAAGAAACGGUGUGAGCUAAUAUCUCAUGCUAAUGACGGUACCUGAAGAAUAAGCACCGGCUAACUACGUGCCAGCAGCCGCGGUAAUACGUAGGGUGCAAGCGUUAAUCGGAAUUACUGGGCGUAAAGCGUGCGCAGGCGGUUUUGUAAGACUGUCGUGAAAUCCCCGGGCUCAACCUGGGAAUGGCGAUGGUGACUGCAAGGCUAGAGUUUGGCAGAGGGGGGUAGAAUUCCACGUGUAGCAGUGAAAUGCGUAGAUAUGUGGAGGAACACCGAUGGCGAAGGCAGCCCCCUGGGUCAAAACUGACGCUCAUGCACGAAAGCGUGGGGAGCAAACAGGAUUAGAUACCCUGGUAGUCCACGCCCUAAACGAUGUCUACUAGUUGUCGGGUUUUAAUUAACUUGGUAACGCAGCUAACGCGUGAAGUAGACCGCCUGGGGAGUACGGUCGCAAGAUUAAAACUCAAAGGAAUUGACGGGGACCCGCACA